rnacentral:rRNA from 1 species
AUGCUCUCCGUCGCCAUGAGCACCCGCCCCGUGGUCUCCCGCCGCCCACACCUCCCAGCGCGAGCUGCUAACCCCACCCCAUCCUCCUCGCCUACGACAGAGACUCGUGGAGCCAGGCCGGGGGCCGUGGUGAGGCGGUCGCUCCUCCGCCCGCGCCCGAUCGUGCUGUCAUGUGUAGCCGUGGGAAGUCUGGUUGCUGCUGGGGCUGCGAAUGCUGCCGACCUCGGGGAUUCUCUGCUAGGAUCAUUGGGACUUCUCUUGGCUGACUUAGGCAUCGGAGAUUGGUUUGGAGGUUUAUUGUUUUCAGCUGGGCAGCAAGCUAAUGAGGCUGUUCUGGAUCAGUUGUCUGCUCUCAGUUUCACCAGCUUGGCAGUAAUUUUUGGUGCUGGACUUGUAACUAGUUUGUCUCCCUGUACACUCAGUGUUCUGCCAUUGACUCUAGGAUAUAUAGGUGCCUUUGGCUCUGGAAAAGAUCGAGCUGAGGUUGUUGGAAAUUCAGUUGCUUUCUCAUUAGGACUGGCAACAACCUUAGCCAUCCUUGGUGUUGCUGCUUCUUUUGCUGGAAAGGCUUAUGGGCAAGUAGGACAAGGACUCCCAGUGGCUGCUUCUGGGUUAGGAAUCGUCAUGGGACUGAACCUACUUGAGGUAGUUGAGCUACAACUUCCCUCAUUUUUCAGCGAUUAUGAUCCUCGAGCUGCUGCAGCUAACUUGCCUUCCAGUGUACAAGCAUAUCUUGCUGGCCUUACAUUUGCAUUAGCAGCAUCACCUUGCAGUACACCUGUUCUUGCUACCCUUCUGGGAUAUGUUGCCACUUCAAGAGAUCCAAUUGUUGGGGGAAGUUUGUUGUUGACAUAUACAACUGGCUAUGUUGCACCUCUUCUCAUUGCAGCCUCUUUUGCUGGAGCAUUGCAGAGUUUGCUGUCAUUCAGAAGAUAUUCCACAUGGAUAAACCCCAUCAGUGGUGCAUUUCUAUUGGGUGGAGGUGUUUAUACCCUACUGGACAAGCUGUUCCCUGCGACAUCAAUGGUGAUGUGA